UACGGAGGGGGCUAGCGUUGUUCGGAAUUACUGGGCGUAAAGCGCACGUAGGCGGACUUUUAAGUCGGGGGUGAAAUCCCGGGGCUCAACCCCGGAACUGCCUUCGAUACUGGGGGUCUUGAGGUCUGGAGAGGUGAGUGGAAUUCCGAGUGUAGAGGUGAAAUUCGUAGAUAUUCGGAGGAACACCAGUGGCGAAGGCGGCUCACUGGCCAGAUACUGACGCUGAGGUGCGAAAGCGUGGGGAGCAAACAGG
rnacentral:rRNA from 1 species